AAGGCUGUCAUUGUAAAUAAGAAUUUGUUCUAAACUGACUUGCCUAGUAAAAUAAAUAAAACAUUUAUUAUUAUUAAAAAAACAAAUAAAUUGUGCUCAAGUGAACAAAGCCGCUGGUCAGUAAUCGGCGAUUCAGCACCAUUCAUAUGGACAACGUCAUGUUCAGCACCACGUGACAGUGGACAGCGACGGUCUCCCGCGCAGCCAUUCCUCAAAUGUGAUUCCAUGUGAUCCUUUGAAACUGCAUCUACAACACACACAUAGAUGACGUGUUGUAUCUCCUAAGUAUACAGAGGAAGCUCUGGGACAGGCUGAGAAGACAGAGUUGGAGAGUCUCCUGGACAGAGCAGAGUCCACUAAGACCUGGACUGACAAAAUCAUCUCACAGACAGACUUUACUGCAGCCUAACCCUGGUUAGUUUGUGUGUGUGUGUGUGUGUGUGUAAGCGAAGGGAUUUGAACCUCUAGCCCCUGAUCUCUGAACCAUUUUAGAAGCACGUUUAGAGGACUUGUUGUAUAAGGGUCUGGAUUGGAGCGCCCCUGAGAGGCCAACCCCCCACGAGCUGCUGAGUGAAAACAUGAUGGACGCUGCUCUGGAACUGGGGCGACACACACCCUACGGUAGUACUCUGAUUAAGUGUGGGGAGUUGGAGAGGCAGAUCGGGGUGGCAAACAAGAAGCUGAUCCAGAGUACAGAUAUCAACUUCCUGUCUCUACGGAGGUUUACUGACCAGGAAUACACAGUCAUACAGGCAGCUGGUGAAUAAGCGGUUAGAUCUGGACAUUGCGAAGGCCAGACUGAGAAAGGCACAGGAAGCAGACAGUGAGACCCGGGGUCUAAAUGCUAACCCAUUAGGAGAGGAGUAUGUAGCUCAUGUCUCCUACAUGUUCAGCUUCCUACGAGUCAGAUGGCUGAAGAUGUGGGCCCAGGAAGUCUCUCAGGCAGAGAUGGAGCUGAGGAUCUCUCAGUGUGUGUUUGACCGACAGUCAGAGAUCACCAGACUACUGCUGGAGGGAAUCAACACUACACAUGCUGCCCAUUUGAGAAGCCUGUCUGACUUUGUAGAAGCCCAGGGUAGCUACUACGCUCAGUGUUACCAGCUCACACAGGACCUACACACCCAACUGGCCUGGUAACCUGCCCUUAACAACUACCCAGCCCUUAGCAACAUGUGAGUCUUCGACAACCAUCCAGGUAACGAGCCAACCUGUAGCAGCCAACCAGGCAAACAGCCAACCCCCGUAGCGACUCACCAGCCCUCGACAACUAACCAGGCAACCAGCCUAUCCUUAGCAACUAACCAGGUCCCCAGCCAACCCUUUACAACCAGCUGGGAAUCUUUCAAACCCUUAGCAACCAAUGACUCAUCAACAACCAACGAGUUCUCAACAACCAACCAGACAACUAGCCAACCCUCAGCCACCAACAGGGCAACCAACCAGACAACCAAUGUGUUUUCAACAACUAAUGAGUCCUCGACCACCAACCAGGUAACUAACCAGCCCUCAAGAAAGCCAUUAGGUAACCAACCAAUCUCUAGCAACCUACCGGACAAACAGCCAACCCUUAGCAACCAAUGAGUCGUCAACAAACAAUGAGAACUUGACAAACAACCAGCAACCAGCCAACCCUUGACAUCCAACCAGGCAACCCCUACAAACCAACCAGGCAACCAAUGAGUCCCCAACAACCAAUGUGUCCUCAUCAACCAACCAGGCAACAAACCAACCCUUAGCAACUUACCAGCCCUUGACAACCAACCAGGCAACCAGUCAAUCCCUAGCAACCAACCAGGUACCCAGCCAAUACUUAGCAACCACUGAGUCCUCACGAAUCAACAAGUCCCCGACAAACAACCAAGCAACCAGACAACCCUUGACAAUCAACCAGGCAACUAGCCAACCGUUAGCUACGAAUGAGUCCUCAACCACCAACCAGGUAACUAACCAAGCCAGCAAUGACCUUCCAAUAACCAACGAGUCCACAACAACCAAUCAGGUAACCAACCAAUCUCUAGCAACCUACCAGACAAACAGCCAGCCCUUAGCAACCAAUGAGUCGUCAACAAACGAUGAGAACUCAACUACAAACCCGGUAACCAACCAACCCUUAUAAACCAACCAGGCAACAGACAGCCCUUGAUAAGCCACCAGGAAACCAUCAAACCCUUAGCAGCCAAUGAUUUCUCAGCAAUCAACGAGUCCUCGACAACCAAGGAGAACGUGACAAACAACCAACUCUCAACAACCAACCAGCCCUUAGAAACCAGCCAGAGAACCAGUCAGCCUGCAGGUGGUCCUGUAGCUGACUGAACAAUCUGACUGUGGAACUGUCUGUAUGAAAAGCGUGUGUUUAUAUUGUGGGUUUGAGUUGUGAACAGCUCCUCCCUGCCAAAACAUCAGCUACCAUGGCUAGGUCCUACAUGAAGGCUCUGACCUAAAAUAGUGCAUUAGGGAAAAUAGGGUGUCACUUCGGAUUGGUCCAAUGUCUCGGUCGUAGUGGUGAAGGGCAACACAGCUAUAGGGGCCGUCUAUAAACCGUAGCAGGCUUGUAUUGACCAUUCACCAGUGUUGUUGUUGGACCCAGCAGGACACACGCGUACGGGCUAAUCCAGGAAGAGUAAGAGGACAUGCUACUGUGGAGUCAUCAGUGGUAGGGAAGUCUUAGAUGUUGAUAUCUACUGUCCUGUCAUAACCUGAGUGUCUAUCGGAGCAUCCAUGUACUCUUUAAGGGAGUUACGUAUUGUCGUGGCAGAAUCAGAAUUAUUUAGGUAACAUUUAUAAAUAAAAUGUUUUAUUUAUUUUAUUUCAUGCUUAUGUGAGAUAUGUCAUUAGAAUGUCUAUUUUUGGGUAAUACUGUUUGCAGUUCUCUGUUCUCUGUCAGGGUUCAGUUACUUGGGCCGCAGAGAUGGGGAGAGGUCAAGCUUGUCUUCAUAUCUUUUAAACCAUGUGAAGGGAUGAUUGAGGGGGAACCAAUUAUCUCUUGGCUCCACAAUGUCUGUGUGCCAGUCACUGUGUCUCCGUGAGCUUGUCCAGAAUGGGAGUGUCUAAAAUGACAAUUGCUAUAUAUCCUAAUGUCUUGGUACUAUGUUGUACCAAGAACGAGAAGUAGAACCUCGUUUUAGGAGGGCAAACUGAACGAUAAUUUAUAGCUAAUGCUGUCUGGCUAUGGGAUACUCCUCUCUCAAGUAAAGUCUUCCUUUGUAAUGUUCCUAAGUUCUGUUAUUCGUCAUG